UGGGGAAUCUUGCGCAAUGGGCGAAAGCCUGACGCAGCCAUGCCGCGUGGAUGAUGAAGGUCUUAGGAUUGUAAAAUCCUUUCACCGGGGACGAUAAUGACGGUACCCGGAGAAGAAGCCCCGGCUAACUUCGUGCCAGCAGCCGCGGUAAUACGAAGGGGGCUAGCGUUGCUCGGAAUUACUGGGCGUAAAGGGCGCGUAGGCGGACAGUUAAGUUGGGGGUGAAAGCCCGGGGCUCAACCUCGGAAUUGCCUUCAAUACUGGCUGUCUUGAGUACGGGAGAGGUGAGUGGAACUCCGAGUGUAGAGGUGAAAUUCGUAGAUAUUCGGAAGAACACCAGUGGCGAAGGCGACUCACUGGCCCGUUACUGACGCUGAGGCGCGAAAGCGUGGGGAGCAAACAGGAUUAGAUACCCUGGUAGUCCACGCCGUAAACGAUGAGUGCUAGUUGUCGGCAUGCAUGCAUGUCGGUGACGCAGCUAACGCAUUAAGCACUCCGCCUGGGGAGUACGGUCGCAAGAUUA
rnacentral:rRNA from 1 species